CAGCCGGAACCUGAGCGGGAGGAGAUGCAAGAGGAGCUGGAGGAGGAGUAGCAACGGGAGGAGGAGAAGCGACGGGAGGAGGAGUUGCUGGAGGUGGAGAAGCGACUGGGGGAGGUGUAGAGACUGGAGGAGGAGUAGCCGGAGGAGGAGAAGUUGUUACUGGUGGAGGAGCUGAGACAGGAGGAGGAGUGGCUGCUGGUGGCGGAGUUGUUGUAGUCGGUGGUGCUGGUGUGGUGGUUGGUGGUGAAGACGGAGCUUGACCUCCAACGCUGGCGAUGAGGACGAUACAGA
rnacentral:lncRNA from 1 species